rnacentral:rRNA from 1 species
CCUACGGGAGGCAGCAGUGAGGAAUAUUGGUCAAUGGACGGAAGCCUGAACCAGCCAAGCCGCGUGCAGGAAGACGGUACUACGAGUCGUAAACCGCUUUUGUACGAGGAUAAACGCAGAUACGCGUACCCGUCUGAAAGUACCGUACGAAUAAGCAUCGGCUAACUCCGUGCCAGCAGCCGCGGUAAUACGGAGGAUUCAAGCGUUAUCCGGGUUUAUUGGGUUUAAAGGGUGCGUAGGCGGUCUGUUAAGUUAGCGGUGAAAUCCCGGGGCUCAACCUCGGCAUUGCGUUGGAGACUGUCGGGCUGGAGAGGGAGUGAGGGAGGCGGAAUGCGUGGUGUAGCGGUGAAAUGCUUAGAUAUCGUGCAGAACACCGAUUGCGAAGGCAGCGUACC